UCACCACUGGCUGCGUCGACGUCGACGUCGGCGUCAAGUUCAACCUGAACAUCGAUUAACGAAAACUCACGCCUUAGCGUCGAUUUGACGUUUAGCUUAAUGGCCAAGCAUAAAUUGUCAAAAUUGUGUGUAGAAAAAAAAAACGAAAAAAAAAAAAAAACAGCAGCAAAUAUUGCCCAUAAAAUGGAGCCCAAACAGGCGAAUCGCUCCCUAGCUCUCAGAGCUACCCCAAACACUUGGCGUGACCAUAAAAUUAAAGCAAGUCAGCUGCAAAAACUCGUUCUAUCCAAAAUGAUAAACAAAGCAGCCAGAGUGGGUGAGAGAGAGAGAGAGAGAGAGAGAGAGAGAAGCGCACCUGACUGCAACUGACUCUUGAUAAACAUAAUAUAAAUAAUAAUAAAGAACUUUAGAUGUAAACUCAACUGACUGCGCGAUGAUCGCUCAGAACUUUAAGAGCAGACCUAGGCCAUAUAUACUGCUAUUCAUCUCCGAAACAUAUAUCGAUCUUCGAUAACCAACAUCGAUCAGAAGUCAUGUAAUCUAAGCUCUCAUUCAUUUCACUGAAACGUAUUUAUGUGCCCAGACUUUACUUCUCUAAAAUCGAUCAAUACUCAUCAACUCUUUGCGCCUCUAACAAAAUAUAUAUAUAAAUACCCAUCUAAGUAGGACUGUCGAUUCUCAAGACUCAUUAUGAAAGUUGAUAAAAAGUAAAUUUCCAGCUUAAUUGUAAUAUAAUCUUAGCCUCUCAUUUAUUCUACCUACAUAUACGCAGACUCUCUCUGCUCUACAAACAUCAGCUCCAUACUCAAUUAUAUCAGCUCCUUUUCCAGCCUUUUUCGAAAUCUGUAUUUAAACAGAAUCAAUAUAAAUACCCAUCUGAACGGCUAUUUGUGUUAAUGUCGCAUUUCUGUUGAAAUUUGCAAUGUUUGAUCGCGCUGAUCUGUGGCUCAGGUUGAUUUUCUCUGCAUUGUCGUCAAUGGGGCCACCAAGAUGCGUCAGCACAAAUAUUCAAUAUGUGACCGGAAAUGCGGCAAAGUUCCCCAAGCAACAACAGCAACAAAUGAAACAACAACAGCACUAGAGAAUUCCCAAGAUAACGGAGAAAAAGGUGCGUCAAUGAUUGGAUAGCCCAGCAAAUAAUGAGCAUAUUUACUUAAGCAUUUAGUUAUAAAAACAAAAAUCACUUUUCAAACCAGACCUCGCCAAUUUCGACAAUUCUCUGUAACAGUGACUAACAAAACUAUUGCAACACGCCAAAGGUUAAAGGCGAUUGGUUCCAGCUGACAUUUAACACAUUGUAAAAUUAACAAUAAGUACUGAAUGUUUAUGUUAAUUUAUAUAACUCACAGUUUCUCUAAGGGGAAUACUGAGAGACAUUCAGCUAUACACCUCAAAUGACUUUGCCAACAAAAACUGGCAAAAUGUGCGAUAUAUAAUAUGGAAACCAUCUAAUAUCGAUUAACCAUGUAAACAAAAAAAUCUCCUUAAAUGAUAGCGUUAAUAAAUUAAAGAAAAUUUUAAGAAAUUGUAA